UAUAGUACUAUCUGGAAGACUGGAAAUCCAUCAAUGCCAGAGAAGUGCUCAUUUUAUCUUAUCUUAGCUGAUAUAAAAUCACUGUUAAAUUGUUUUUCACACACUUUUGUGUCUUCUUCUAAACAAUCAGAGAAUCGUACUAUUCACGUGAUGUCUCGGAGUCAAUUUUUCAAUCUGAUUGUAAAGAAUGGUUGUCAUUGCCUCAGUGUAGCAUAAAAACACUCUCUCGCAUACCAUAGCAGGAGGAUCUGUACUGUUAUAUAUGAAUGUGGCAAUGGUUUU